UACGUGGGGGGCAAGCGUUGUUCGGAUUUACUGGGCGUAAAGGGCGCGUAGGCGGCGUGUUAAGUCAGCUGUGAAAUCUCCAAGCUUAACUUGGAACGGUCAGCUGAUACUGAUGUGCUAGAGUGCAGAAAGGGCAAUCGGAAUUCUUGGUGUAGCGGUGAAAUGCGUAGAUAUCAAGAGGAACACCUGAGGCGAAGGCAGGUUGCUAGGCUGACACUGACGCUGAGGCGCGAAAGCUAGGGUAGCAAACGGG
rnacentral:rRNA from 1 species